AUGCCGCCCCGCUCCGCAGCGGAGUUGCAGAGCAGAGAGAUCCCGAACAGCUCCUUAGUUUCAGUUUAUUGUCAUUUGUUAUGUUACGUUCGGCGGACGAAGAAAUGUCAGCUGGCGUGCCUGGCGACCACUCUACCUCCUCCAGUCGAGAUCCGCUGCCACCAACCUCGUGUAGGGAGCUCUUUUUAUCUUCCUUUGUAUCUCUAUGGAGCAGAAGGUUUAAAUUUACCAAUGUAUGGCUCUUGUUUAUGUUCCCUAUACAUGAAUGUUCAUAAGCAAGAUAGGUGCACACGUAUAAACACUCAAGAGGUGCAUCACCGAAGGACGCAAGGCAUGCCGCUCCCAAACCUGGCUUUGUGUAUUACCUAG
rnacentral:rRNA from 1 species